rnacentral:rRNA from 2 species
AACAAGUUAGCGGCGGACGGGUGAGUAACACGUGGGUAACCUGCCUGUAAGAUGGGGAUAACUCCGGGAAACCGGAGCUAAUACCGAAUAACACUUUCGCUCGCAUGAGCGGAUGUUAAAAGACGGUUUCGGCUGUCACUUACAGAUGGACCCGCGGCGCAUUAGCUAGUUGGUGAGGUAACGGCUCACCAAGGCGACGAUGCGUAGCCGACCUGAGAGGGUGAUCGGCCACACUGGGACUGAGACACGGCCCAGACUCCUACGGGAGGCAGCAGUAGGGAAUCUUCCGCAAUGGACGAAAGUCUGACGGAGCAACGCCGCGUGAGUGAUGAAGGUUUUCGGAUCGUAAAACUCUGUUGUUAGGGAAGAACAAGUAUGAGAGUAACUGCUCGUACCUUGACGGUACCUAACCAGAAAGCCACGGCUAACUACGUGCCAGCAGCCGCGGUAAUACGUAGGUGGCAAGCGUUGUCCGGAAUUAUUGGGCGUAAAGCGCGCGCAGGCGGUUCCUUAAGUCUGAUGUGAAAGCCCACGGCUCAACCGUGGAGGGUCAUUGGAAACUGGGGAACUUGAGUGCAGAAGAGGAAAGCGGAAUUCCACGUGUAGCGGUGAAAUGCGUAGAGAUGUGGAGGAACACCAGUGGCGAAGGCGGCUUUCUGGUCUGUAACUGACGCUGA